rnacentral:ncRNA from 1 species
GUUUUUAGCGCCUGGACCAAUAAUUAUUUAUAUAUAAUACUCUAGUUAUUGCGUUGACGAGGUAGAAACUUAUCGAAAGAUUCGGCGGAUGGUUUCUUGGCAUACGAUUACUGCCAUAAAUAUUAGUUAAAGCCUUGUAGUAAUACAAGUAUACAAAGCUAAUAG